rnacentral:lncRNA from 1 species
CGGGGAGGCAGCUAAGGCCCAGCGAGAAAUCGAGCACAGCAGCUGCUGGGCCAGGUGCUAAGCCCCUCACUGCACGGGGCUUGCGCGCCGGCCCGCCGGCCGCUCCGAGUGCGGGGCCUGCCGAGGCCACGCCCACCCGGAACUCGCGCUAGCCCGCAAGCGCCGCGCGCAGCCCUGGUUCCCGCCCGUGCCUCUCCCUCCACACUUUCCCGCAAGCUGAGGGAGCCGGCUCCCGCCUUGGCCAGCCCGGAAAGGGGCUCCCACGGUGCAGCGGUGGGCUGAAGGGCUCCUCAAGCACGGCCAGAGUGGGCGCCAAGGCCGAGGAGGCGCCGAGAACCAGCGAGGGCUGCCAGUAUGCUGUCACCUCUCAUUAUUACUUGCCGAUGUGAGUGGAGAAGGAGACUUGGUGAUAACAGGACUGAAAACCUUGUGUAGCUUUGAUGACUUUUCAGGUCCUAGACAAGGAUGUGGCUGGCCUUUUCCUGGAGCUUCUGACUUCCACAUCAGAAAAAAACAAAAUGGCCCCAGAAAGAGUCCCUGUUGGAUGCAAUCAUGAUUGUACUUGGAUAUGUAAAACAGCUUCUUGACAAUAUAGUUUCUCUGAAUUGGCCGUAGGUCUGUCUCAUGGCUUCCCUUAGCAUUUUCAUGCUUUGUUUCAAACUUGUGCCUUUAAGCACUUAUUCUUUGCUUACUUCCCAAAUUAUCAACCGGGUUUUUGAGAAAGGCCCAGAGUUUGCUCUCAUUAUAUCUUUGUAUUCUGAUAGGUAUAAUUUCACUGAUUAGGUCCAAAUCUCAGACUUUACGGCAAGCCAUUGUAGCCUCUUUCCCUUCUUCUUGGAAAGUGA